CACGCCUGUAAUCCCAGUUACUCAGGAGUUGGAGGUAGGAAAAUGGCUUGAACCUGCGAGGCGGAGGUUGUAGUGAGCUGAGAUCAUGCCACUGCACUCCAGUCUGGGUGACAGAGACUCCAUCCUGGUGCUCCAGCCUGGGUGACAGAGACUCCAUCUCAAAAAAAAAAAAAAAAAGGCAUCCGGGGACAAGUGGUAAAAUUUACAGACAGAUGGCCUGAUGUUUGCAUUGAUGACAACCCAGUCUCCUCCAGCCUGGCCUGCCCUCUGCACUUCAGAUCUAAGUGUCUGGGCCUGCUGGACACCCCUACUUGGCUGUAACACAGACUCCUCCCGUUGGUUCACAGACAAAACUCAGCCUGCUUGCUUCUCCUGGUUCUCUUUUGCUAUUUGAAGUCUCCCUUGACUCCUCACUCCCUUUUGCAGCCAAACCAGCACACAAGUGUCUUUUUGCUCCAUCGAUGGCUGUCUGUCCUCACUGGCUCCCACCCCCUGCCCGGCUCAGACUCUCACCAGGAUGACCACAACAGCUCCCUACCUACUGUCUUCUACUUUUCCCAUCCAUUCGCCAAGGCAACCGGGGGGAUUUUUGCAAAUAAAUAAAAAAAAACCUGACC